UACGGGGGGGGCAAGCGUUGUUCGGAAUUACUGGGCGUAAAGGGCUCGUAGGUGGCCAACUAAGUCGGACGUGAAAUCCCUCGGCUUAACCGGGGAACUGCAUCCGAUACUGGAUGGCUUGAGUUCGGGAGAGGGAUGCGGAAUUCCAGGUGUAGCGGUGAAAUGCGUAGAUAUCUGGAGGAACACCUGUGGUGUAGACGGCUCUCUGGACAGUAACUGACGCUGAGACACGAAAGCGUGGGUAGCAAACAGG
rnacentral:rRNA from 1 species